UCGAAGGUAGCAUAAUCAUUAGUCUUUUAAUUGAAGGCUGGUAUGAAUGGUUGGAUGAAAUAUUAACUGUUUCAUUUAAAUUUUUAAAGAAUUUUAUUUUUUAGUUAAAAAGCUGAAAUUUUAUUAAAAGACGAGAAGACCCUAUAAAUCUUUAUAUUUUUUAUAUUUUAAUUUUAUGGAUUUAUUUAAUUAUUAUAAUAAAUAAAUAUUUUAUUGGGGUGAUAUUAAAAUUUAAAAAACUUUUAAUUUAUGAUUUACAUAAAUUUAUGAAUAAAUGAUCCAUUAUUAGUGAUUAAAAAUUUAAGUUACUUUAGGGAUAACAGCGUAAUUUUUUUGGAGAGUUCAUAUCGAUAAAAAAGAUUGCGACCUCGAUGUUGGAUUAA
rnacentral:rRNA from 1 species